ensembl:lncRNA
UUGUCGAGUGAACGGACCGAAAGAGAGAGAGGGAGAAAAAAACAGAACACUUCCCACUCUGCUAAAAUCACUGGGAGUGACUGUGACAGGAGGAAGGGGACAGAGAGACAGAGAGCUGAAGAAGCCCUCGCAGGACUUCAUCACAUUUCUUUAAGGACUGCUCGGACUGGAACGGACCACUAACCGAUCACUAAACCUGGACUGAUUAUCAAUAGCGGUGAUUAGUUGCGGAGUGAGAUCUGUUGUGAGAGACUCUUGGAGGAGCAUGCGGCUCGGUUUACUAUUCAGGCUCUAUGUGCUGUGGGGCUUUGUGGUGGUCACGACCUCCGUGACCAAGUCUGCCAAGAGGAAGGUGGCGGGCAGAAGGUCAAGACAGGUGUUUGAGGUGGAGCCUGUGGAGGGGGUGUGGUCUGACUGGGGGGAGUGGUCUGACUGCUCUCAGACCUGCGGCGUGGGCGUCUCACAGAGGAGCAGGAAGUGUUUACCUCCUCCACCUCAACACAACCCUCACCUCUCCCAUUCUCCACCUAACUGGGCAGGCUAUUUGCCCGGGGGCAUCGAAGGUCCUGUCAUCUCACCUGUCCACCCCUACUACCCUCCUCGUUACCCCGGGCAACACCAGCCUUAUCACUCCCCGUCUGUCUCCGCCAAUCACAACCCAGGAUUGUCUCUGUAUCGGAAUACCAACACAGCGGGAGGAGGAGGAGGAGGUGGUGGAGGAGGAGGAGGAGGAGCUCCUCUACCGGGACAGGCCAAUCCAAACCCUUCUUUUUACCAGCCAGAAUUCUCCCCAACCAAUCAAGAACAUGUGUCAGUUUACCGAUCUCCCUACCACGCUCCUUCUCACGGCUACAACCAGCCAGCACGCACUAUCAGGAGGCCGACCAAUCCAGGAGCAGCGAGGGCUGCAGGGAGCAGAAGGUCAGUCUCCACCAAUCGGGAGGGUUUGCCUGCGAGGAGGUCUUCUGCCAUCCGUCCAGGUCAGUUUGGGUACGGCAGGGUCCCGUUCUCUCUGCCUUUACACCGUCCCAACCGGCAGGUUCGCCACACUGUUAACGGCACCGACAAUGAAGACGACACAGAGAACAACAGGAGAGAGGAAGAAGUGACAGGGAGUGAUGGAGAAGACAGGGAGGCGGGGAGGCGCCUGGAGGAGGAGAGCACCAAGACGCCUGCUGCUGAGGAGUUUCCCACGAUGACCACCACAACUGGCUACCCACACCGCCACGUUGACAGACUCCCACAAACCAAUACAGAGCACAGGAGGGCAAGAGUCCCACCCUCUCACCCUUUCUCACGCUCCUCAUCGCCAUCUCUGCUUCCCAACCGCCACCGGUUUGACUGGCACUCCGUCACCGCACCUCCUCCUCCCAUCCCUCCUCUCUCCCGCCCAAACUCUCCUGCCAUUGCAGUCACCUUUUUCAUCUCCUCUCCACCGCUCCAGCACCAUGCACAGACAGACAGACAGGGAGCUCCACCAAGGCUUCCCACCUGCCGGCAACAUCUACCCACUGCAGCACCCCCACAACCCACACCUGGGAGUGGAAUCCGGCAGGGAUGGAGAAAGAGGAGCUCAGGUGUACAGGUGCUCUGGGCCGGAGAAGGAGUACCAAAGGUGUUUCUCGCAGAUGAGUGACUAGGAACUUCCCAGCUGUUUGUGACAGCUGUGUGAGUGAAGAGGGAUCCACAAAAAUAACACAAGAGGAACGAAUCAAAGAAAGAGAGUGAAAGACAAGAUGAUUGUGGAGCUGACAGAGAUUAGAGAUGGAAGGAAAUCUGAGAGCUUUGUGUGCGGCAUGCUAGAGAGAGAGAGAGAGAGAGAGAGAGAGAGAGAGAGAGAGAGAGAGAGAGAGAGAGAGAGAGAGAGAGAGAGACAGAGAGAGAGAGAGACAGAUAGAGAGACAGACAGAGAGAGAGAGAGACAGAUAGAGAGAGAGACAGAUAGAGAGAGAGAGAGAGAGAUGAGAGAGAGAGAGAGAGAGAGAGAGAGUGUGUGUGUGUGUGAGUGAGUGAGUGUGUGUUUCAGCCAGAUGUAUAUCAGAGGGCUGUAAACCUGAUGAAGCUGAGUGUGUGAGUGCAGCAGUGGAAGAAUUAUGAAGAUCCUUUUCUCAAAUAAAAGUACAACAAUAGUAUAGUAUAAUCAGCCAAAUGUACUUAAAGUAAUCGUUUGGCACUCUCACAUCUGUCCUUUAAAUGUGAAGCUACCGCUCCAGUGUUAUUCCGAUGACAUACAGCUUUAUCUCCCCCUGAAAACGAACGAGCAGUAUAAUCUAAUCAGUCUCAUGAACUGCCUUGAGGACAUAAAGCGUUGGAUGACCUGACACUUCCUCCAGCUGAAUGAAAGCAAGUCUAAAGUUGUCCUUCUUGGCUCCCCUGACUCCAUCAAAGUGAUCACCAAACAGUCUUGGCAUUCUGUCCACCGUUGUUCAACACAAUUUUAAAUACCUUGUCCACCUUUAAGUUUGACAAGCAGGUCAAUGUGGUAGUAAAAUCCAUUUUUCUCAGCUUUGUACUAUUGCCAAAAUCAAGCCUUUACUCUCAUUCACAGAUCUUGAGAAUAUCAUUCCUACAUCGCACACCCUGGAGCCUCAGGUCGGCUGACUCGAGGCUCCUGGCUGUCCCGUGGUCUAAACUUGAGCUCAGGGGUGACUUUUCACUUACUGUUGCUCCCCCGAGACUGUGGAACAACACCCCCCCCUCCCAAUCAGCUCUGCCGCCUCCAUUAACUAUUUUAAGUCCAGGCUAAAAACAUAUUAUUACUCACAAGCAAUUAAAUCCUCCUGAUGCGGCGGAUUGUUUGACUUGCUGAUGCAUUGAUGUUUAUGUCGGUGUUUCUUUUAUUUGUGAUUGUAGCUACCUGCUCUGGUCUGUACAGCA